AACGAACGCUGGCGGCAUGCCUAACACAUGCAAGUCGAACGAGACCUUCGGGUCUAGUGGCGCACGGGUGCGUAACGCGUGGGAACCUGCCCUUAGGUUCGGAAUAACUCCCCGAAAGGGGUGCUAAUACCGGAUAAUGUCUUCGGACCAAAGAUUUAUCGCCUUUGGAUGGGCCCGCGUUGGAUUAGCUAGUUGGUAGGGUAAAAGCCUACCAAGGCGACGAUCCAUAGCUGGCCUGAGAGGAUGAUCAGCCACACUGGGACUGAGACACAGCCCAGACUCCUACGGGAGGCAGCAGUGGGGAAUAUUGGACAAUGGGCGAAAGCCUGAUCCAGCAAUGCCGCGUGAGUGAUGAAGGCCUUAGGGUUGUAAAGCUCUUUUACCCGGGAUGAUAAUGACAGUACCGGGAGAAUAAGCUCCGGCUAACCCCGUG
rnacentral:rRNA from 1 species